ACCUAAGUAGUGCCAUGGCACAGGAGCGAUUGAGUGGAUUGGCCAUACUCUCCAUCGAGAAUGAAAGAGCAAGAAAAUUGGAUUUCGCUGAACAGAAGGCACGCAGAGUUAACUUCUGAACGGGGUCUGUCUGGAUGAAAGAGGCCUACAGGAGUUUAACGGCAAGAGAAGAUGAUCUCAUAAUAUGGAUUCAAUCAGAUUCUGCAAGAAAAGGAAACGGAUUCCCAGAGUUGCCAGUGAGGAUGUCUGUUUCUGCUGGGAGCCUACAGGGGAUGAACACAGUAAUACAUCAUGAAGGCUCA
rnacentral:lncRNA from 1 species